rnacentral:rRNA from 1 species
CCUACGGGCGGCAGCAGUGAGGAAUAUUGGUCAAUGGGCGCGAGCCUGAACCAGCCAAGUCGCGUGAGGGAAGACGGUCCUAUGGAUUGUAAACCUCUUUUGUCGGGGAGCAAAAGACGCCACGCGUGGCGUUCCGAGAGUACCCGAAGAAAAAGCAUCGGCUAACGCCGUGCCAGCAGCCGCGGUAAUACGGAGGAUGCGAGCGUUAUACGGAUUUAUUGGGUUUAAAGGGUGCGCAGGCGGAAGAUCAAGUCAGCGGUAAAAUUGAGAGGCUCAACCUCUUCGAGCCGUUGAAACUGGUUGUCUUGAGGGAGUGAGAAGUAUGCGGAAUGCGUGGUGUAGCGGUGAAAUGCAUAGAUAUCACGCAGAACUCCGAUUGCGAAGGCAGCAUACCGGCGCUCAACUGACGCUCAUGCACGAAAGUGUGGGUAUCGAACAGGAUUAGAUACCCGGGUAGUC